rnacentral:misc_RNA from 1 species
ACAAUACUCGAUCAGCAGCUUGUCCGCCCGAGUCCCGGUGGUCCGCAUGUGGAUAGAUAUUGAACAGCAUAUCUACAAAAGUAUCAACUUGUAACAGGAGACAUGCGUUUAAUUGGUUUAAAUCGCUCGACAAUAUUGAUUCGCGUGUACGUAUGCGCAGAUCAAUUGAUUUUUUCGAGAAAAAUUGCAUAUUGAAUCAAAUACUCGUAUUUAAAUACACCUCAUGGAUUGUGUGCAUUAAAGAGAUAUUAUAAUGAACUGUUGGCAAAAAUCCAGACUUAAAGAAACAUGACUGACGCAUUCAACACAAUUUUCGAGAAGUAUGUCGACACUUUAGACAACUGGCAGCGACUAGUGGACGACAUCAGGAAAAUGCACCACGAGAUUUGGACAGAAAGUCGAAUAAUUCCAAUCAUAAGGCAACAUAGAGCAGGGAGUCGGGUUGAAAAGCAAUGUCGUAUCUUACCGAAAGGGAAACAAACCGAUGUGGAUUAUAAGUUUGAGGUGACAGGAAUCAUUGUGGAUAUGGAAAAUAAAAAUGGAUUCUACUGGAAAUUCAGCGAUUUCACCGGCGCACAUGGGAAAAUAUUUGUGUCAAACUCAACCAAAACGGAACUUAUAAGAAAGGAACACUAUCGCGAGAUAUUCACAGAAAACGUAUUUGAAUGGACCCCCAACGAAGAGGCUUAUCUGUUACUACCAGGGCAAUUCAAAAACAACGUUGUAAAAUUCAGUCAAUUUGAGUACAGGAGGGACGCCACACCCCCACACAAUAGUCCCUCCGUCCCUGGGAAAGGGGCAGUGAAUGAAUACGACAUCGUGCCAUGCUUGAGGAUUUCUGAGUGGCCACAGCGUGUUCACAAAAGGACUUACAAUGCCUCUGAUAUAACGAGACAAGUUCGGUCCAAAAUGGUGGAUGAUGAGCCUCUAUUUGUCGUUCCAGCGGGCGACCCCUGCUCUUUGGAGAAAGAACAACAGUUCAGACUUUCAUUUUCUCUGCUUGAGGUGAAAUACUUCGAAGGUUUGUCUGCUUAUUUCAGAAAACUAUAUGGCUUAAUUAAGUACAUUUUCAAAAUGAACAUUGACCACCUAAAGUUGUUAGACUCUUAUCACAUUAAAUCACUUUUCAUUUCAUGGGUUGAUACUGACUUCAAUCAAAUUUGCCAUGGUUUAACAGUCGACUUAAUAAAUUUCUAUGAGAUUGUGUAUAGAGCAUGCGAGGAGCAGAAAAUCGAACACGUGUUCAUAAAAGGAUGUAACAUUUUCCCAUACCACCAUAUAGACAGGGCAACGGAUAACGACAAAUGUACUCUUCUAGUUCUCAAAAAUAUAACGAUAUCUAGUAUUGCUCCAGAAUUGUGUAUCCUUCUUAGACAAGAUUUGCGACUUUCAGAGGAAGGUGAUAAGAACUGGUUGUCAAAAGCAGAAAUUAUUUUAGAUAGAUUGCAUGAAGGUUUUGGGAGGGCCGCUUACAUCGAUGGUUAUCUGACCAGACUGCUAAGUCUGGUGACAAAUUCCUUGUACGAAAACGUGCAGAAAAGGGAGGCUCUUGCACAUACUAUUUCUAAAAAUACAAGAGGUAUUCAGAGAUUUUUCGAGUGAUGGUAAUAUAGUGCGCUUAAUCCCAAUGGUCAAUGCGACUCUGGAGCAUCUAGAUGCAGCCAACAGAAUUGACAGUCGACCAAUCGCAUGCUCCCGAGAAGAUGGCGUCAGUAUCAGUGUUCAUGUGGCAUUUCAGCAUUACCUUAAUCAGAAUUUUGACGAAAUGAUGAAGAUUCUGAAUGAAAUUCCAACAGACACUUUGGAAGAUCCACCAAAUUAUAUCGGCGUUUCCAUAACAAACCACCACAAGAAAUACAUUAAACUCGAUAAACCUCUCUGUUAUGUCAUUUCUACCUUUGAAAGAGGACACGCACAGCAAAAUUGUCCACGGUUUUACAUGGACCCCGUUUUAUUGGCCCAUCAUUUCAAAAAACAAGCCCGACUUCACACAACGGGCAAGGGUCCUGUCCAGACUGACCUAGAUACACUGGAGGCGUUGUCUGUGUGUCUGUCUGACCGGGCGCCGUAUCUCGGACGACUCUCCUAUAAGUCAUCGGCCUCCCUUCUCCUCCUGGGAUACAGGGAGACUAAUUUAAGCAUUGAUGCAAUAAACUUUGAUCUCCAGACUUAUCAUAGAAGUGGUGCAACAAAUUUUGAUCUACGUUAAAGAGGUGCAAUGGUGUUAGUCGUAUUUGAUUCAUUUUCUGUUUGCUAACAAAGAAAAGCUAGGUUUUAACUAUACGUGACUUGGAAUGAAAUUAAUAUUUGUCAAGAUGACAUUGUUAUUAUUAUUUUGUUUUGUAAUCCUGGAGAUUAUACACAUUGAAACAGAAGAUUAAGACUGAAGAUUGAAUUAAG